UAAAUAGUGUUAUUAAUAUAUUAUUAUGGAUAUUUACUUUUGCAUGUUGAAUUACAAUAAGUGGAAUCUUUUGAUGUGCAUGACAGUGGUAAGGAAGACUUUUUGUACAUCAUCACAUUUAUGAUUUAGUAGAAGACACAGAUUUGCUUGGUUCAGGGCAUGCUCAACUUCAUCCUUGCUUGUUUGAUUUUACUUCAUGGAGACCAGUUGUUUUCAUUUUUUCACAAUUGGCCAAGAAGUGGUCACAAUGUGCGCUAGUCAAGACACACUUCACCAGUAAGGCAAAGCUAGAGGUAAAAGUUUCCCCUGUGUUAGGCCUUGCUGGUGAAGUGAUGUUGUAAGAUCACAAAGAUAUGCAUUUUCUCUUGAUUGUUGCUACUUGAAAUUUAGUACUAGUGUCUGUAUAUGUAUAUGAUAUAUAUAUUAUGUAAAGAAUAAUAUUUUAUUAAGAAUUGCAAAUUGGUCAUUCACGAUGAGCAGUGAUUACAUUCAUAAGCAGAUGUAAAUACCAUUGAUCUUAUCAUUAUUAUUAUUUUUUUUCACUGUUUUUAUUUUGUUGAUGCAUGAAUUUAAAAAAAAACCUUAUUGUUUUGAAGCGAUGACUAGUGAAUAUUAAGAGAUAUUUUUGGAUCCCUCGUGUACUUGAUGUAUACACUGAUUUAUAUAUGGACAGGUGCGAUAUCACGGCACCUUGUGUUCUUUACAGGGACUUACUGUACUUGUAUGUUGACCAAACUUUACAUUAAAUCAUUUGAAAUAAACAAACAAGUGAU
rnacentral:misc_RNA from 1 species